rnacentral:sRNA from 1 species
GAAAAUGGCUCGGCCAAGUUCAAGUAUGGCAGAUUUUCGGAAGUUUUUUGCAAAAGCAAAGCAUAUAGUCAUCAUCUCAGGCGCUGGUGUUAGUGCAGAAAGUGGUGUUCCGACCUUCAGAGGAGCUGGAGGUUAUUGGAGAAAAUGGCAAGCCCAGAACAUUCCUUCAUGGCCCUUUGCAGUCUGUGCUCUCCCAUCCCACUGGCUCAGGAAAUCCCUAGCUUUGGAAGACAAGGAAUUGUUUGAUUGUUCGAGAUGGAGUUUUGCUCUUGUUGCCCAGGCUGGAGUACAAUGGCGUGAUCUCGGCUCACUGCAACCUCCGCCUCCCAGAUUCUCCUGCCUCAGCCUCCCGAGUAGCUGGGAUUACAGGCAUGCACCGCCACACCCGGCUAAUUUUUGUAUUUUUUAGUAGAGACAGGGUUUCACCAUGUUGGCCAGGCUGGUCGCAAACUCCUGACCUCAGGUGAUCCACCCAUCUUGGCCUCCCAAAGGACUGGGAUUACAGGCAUGAGCCACCGCGCCCGGCCUCUGUUUGUUUUAUUCAUUGCAUUGUCUCCAGUUUCCAGAACUCUGGCACAUUAUAGGUGCUUAACGGAUUUUCGUUGGCUGAACGAAAGCAGUCAUAAAUAAAUACUGCAAUA